CAUCGUCAACAGGGGUGCCUCCGCAUAUGGGCCGGAGGCUGAGAGGGCAACUCGGGCCUAACCCUAUGAACCUGAACUGGUUAGCACCAGCGGAGGGAGUGUGACGGGCGCAGAGA
rnacentral:ncRNA from 2 species